GACGAACGCUGGCGGCGUGCCUAAUACAUGCAAGUAGAACGCUGAAGGAGGAGCUUGCUUCUCUGGAUGAGUUGCGAACGGGUGAGUAACGCGUAGGUAACCUGCCUGGUAGUGGGGGAUAACUAUUGGAAACGAUAGCUAAUACCGCAUAAUAGCAGUUGUUGCAUGAUAACUGUUUGAAAGGUGCAAUUGCACCGCUACCAGAUGGACCUGCGUUGUAUUAGCUAGUUGGUGGGGUAACGGCUCACCAAGGCGACGAUACAUAGCCGACCUGAGAGGGUGAUAGGCCACACCGGGACUGAGACACGGCCCAGACUCCUACGGGAGGCAGCAGUAGGGAAUCUUCGGCAAUGGACGGAAGUCUGACCGAGCAACGCCGCGUGAGUGAAGAAGGGUUUCGGAUCGUAAAGCUCUGUUGUAAGAGAAGAACGAGUGUGAGAGUGGAAAGUUCACACUGUGACGGUAUCUUACCAGAAAGGGACGGCUAACUACGUG
rnacentral:rRNA from 1 species